rnacentral:lncRNA from 1 species
GCUGGACUUUCUGUCAGAAAGCAGGCUGUUACUGGCUGGGAAUCUGCUGGACUUUCUGUCAGAAAGCAGGCUGUUACUGCUGGAAUCUGCUGGACUUUCUGUCAGGCAGCAGGCUGUUACUGCUGGAAUCGCUGGACUUCUUGUCAGACAGGGCUGUUACUGCUGGACUUUCUGUCAGGAGCAGGCUGUUACUGCUGGAAUCUGCUGGACUUUCUGUCAGAAAGCAGGCUGUUACUGCUGGAAUCUGCUGGACUUUCUGUCAGGCAGCAUGCUGUUACUGCUGGAAUCGCUGGACUUUCUGUCAGGGAGCAGUCUGUUACUGCUGGAAUCUGCUGAACUUCUGUCAGGGAGCAGGCAGUUACUGCUGGAAUCUGCUGGACUUUCUGUCAGGGAGCAGGCAAUUACUGCUGGAAUCUGCUGGACUUCUGUCAGGCAGCAGGCUAUUACUGCUGGAAUCUGCUGGACUUUCUGUCAGGGAGCAGGCAGUUACUGCUGGAAUCUGCUGGACUUUCUGUCAGCAGCAGGCUAUUACUGCUGGAAUCUGCUGGACUUUCUGCCAGGGAGCAGGCAGUUACUGCUGGAAUCUGCUGGACUUUCUGUCAGGCAGCAGGCAGUUACUGCGGAAUCUGCUGGACUUUCUGUCAGACAGCAGGCUGUUACUGCUGGACUUUCUGUCAGGCAGCAGGCUGUUACUGUUGGAAUCUGCUGGACUUUCUGUCAGGCAGCAGGCAGUUACUUCUGGAAUCUGCUGGACUUUCUGUCAGGCAGCAUGCUGUUACUGCUGGAAUCUGCUGGACUUUCUGUCAGGCAGCAGGCUGUUACUGCUGGACUUUCUGUCAGACAGCAGGCUGUUACUGCUGGAAUCUGCUGGACUUUCUGUCAGACAGCACGGCUGUUACUGCUGGAAUCUGCUGGACUUUCUGUCAGACAUCAGGCUGUUACUGCUGGAAUCGGCCGGACUUUGUCAGACAGCAGGCUGUUACUGCUGUGGAAUCGGCUGGACUUUCUGUCAGGCAGCAAGCAGUUACUGCUGGAAUCUGCUGGACUUCUGUCAGACAGCAGGCUGUUACUGCUGGAAUCUGCUGGACUUUCUGUCAGGCAGCAGGCUGUUACUGCUGGAAUCUGCUGGACUUUCUGUCAGGAGC